CAAUAUUACUGCUUUUACAGUUAAAUAGAAGUUAAGAAGUUCAAUAUAAUUUAUUUGCAUUUAUUGAAAUUUUUACUUUGUUUGUGACAAUUGUGGUUAUAGUUUAGUUCAGAUGUCCCUCCUGUGGUUCAGACCAUUGCAAGUCACGUGGAUUGUCAUCAUAUGUUUGUUCUCAGGGUGCAAGGCAAGUCUCUACGACUCUCCAUGUCCACAUCACCACAAUAUGAUCACAUCAGGGGAGAGUCAGCUUUUGAAAACCCCAUCUAUGAAACUGCAAACAAUGAGGAUACGAGAGAAUACGAAGUCUCCAUUUAAA